UGAACUGGGAUGGACUGGGAUGGACUGGGAUGAACUGAACUGGGAUUGAACUGGGAUUGAACUGGGAUGGACUGGGAUUGAACUGGGAUGGACUGGGAUGAACUGGGAUUGAACUGGGAUGGACUGGGAUUGAACUGGGAUGAACUGGGAGGGAACUGGGAUGGACUGGGAUGGACUGGGAUGGACUGGGAUUGAACUGGGAUUGAACUGGGAUUGAACUGGGAUGAACUGGGAUUGACUGGGAUGGACUGGGAUGGAACUGGGAUGGACUGGGAUGGACUGGGAUUGAACUGGGAUUGAACUGGGAUGAACUGGGAUGAACUGGGAUGAACUGGGAUGGACUGGGAUGGACUGGGAUGAACUGGGAUGGACUGGGAUGGACUGGGAUGGACUGGGAUGGACUGGGAUGGAGUGGGAUGAACUGGGAUGGACUGGGAUGAACUGGGAUGGAACUGGGAUGAACUGGGAUGAACUGGGAUGGACUGGGAGGGACUGGGAGGGACUGGGAUGGACUGGGAUGGACUGGGAUUGAACUGGGCUGAACUGGGCUGAACUGGGAUUGAACUGGGAUUGAACUGGGAGAGAACUGGGAUUGAACUGGGAUGAACUGGGAUGGACUGGGAUGGACUGGGAUGGACUGGGAUUGAACUGGGAUUGAACUGGGCUGAACUGGGAUUGAACUGGGAUUGAACUGGGAUGGACUGGGAUUGAACUGGGAUUGAACUGGGAUGGACUGGGAUGGACUGGGAUGGACUGGGAUUGAACUGGGAUGGACUGGGAUGAACUGGGAUGGACUGGGAUGGACUGGGAUGGACUGGGAUGAACUGGGAUUGAACUGGGAUUGAGCUGGGAUUGAACUGGGAGGGACUGGGAUGAACUGGGAUUGAACUGGGAUUGAACUGGGAUGAACUGGGAUUGAACUGGGAUGAACUGGGAUUGAACUGGGAUGAACCGGGCCCAUACUGGGAGCCCUGGACUCCCUUUAACUCCUCCCAGAAGGGGCGUGGUGAAUUCCACUCUCCCCAUAUAUGGAAAAAGGGGCGUGGCUAGCCCAAACCACCCACAUAUGAAAGAAGGGGGCGUGGCCAAGCACACCCUUCCCAUAUAUGGAAGAAAGGGGCGUGUCCUGAUCCAGGCCCCGCCCCCAGACGCUGCAAGGGCGCCCCCUGGUGGCUGUGGCCGAGGAGAGCUUCCGGGAGCAGGUGCUGGGAAUUCUGGGAAGUGGGCGGGGCCUGCAGCCCUUCCUGGAGGUGAGACCAGUACGGACCAGUACGGACCAGUAUGGACCAGUAACCCCCUCCCAGUUCCACCCCAGUUCAUCCCAGUUCCAUCCCAGUAUAAACCAGUUCCCUCCCAGUUCCCUCCCAGUUCAUCCCAGUUUGGUCCUGGGUCAUCCCAGUAUGAACCAGUUCCUUCCCAGUCCAUCCCAGUUCAUCCCAGUAUAAACCAGUUCCAUCCCAGUCCAUCCCAGUCCAUCCCAGUUCCCUCCCAGUUCCCUCCCAGUCCCUCCCAGUCCCUCCCAGUUCAUCCCAGUAUAAACCAGUUCCCUCCCAGUUCAUCCCAGUUCCCCCCCAGUCCAUCCCAGUCCAUCCCAGUUCAAUCCCAGUCCAUCCCAGUCCCU
rnacentral:lncRNA from 1 species